UAGCGUAGGGUGCAAGCGUUUAAUCGGAAUUACUGGGCGUAAAGCGUGCGCAGGCGGUUUUGUAAGUCUGUCGUGAAAUCCCCCGGGCUCAACCUGGGAAUUGCGAUGGAGACUGCAAGGCUGGAGUCUGGCAGGAGGGGGGUAGAAUUCCACGUGUAGACAGUGAAAUGCGUAGAGAUGUGGAGGAACACCGAUGGCGCAA
rnacentral:rRNA from 1 species